AUGGUACGGGUUUGAACUUGGAUGAAAGUAUUUAAGUUCUCCUUUGUGAGUUUUUGUUUUGUCUUAUAUUUACUUUGCCAAUGCCUGUUCAUAGAUACAGCUGUGAAUGCAUAUUCUAAAUCCUGCCUCAGCUGUGAGUGCUUUGACCGCCUGGCUUGUCUCCCAAAAGACACUUAGACUGAGCACAACAUACAACAACCGAAACACACUUGGCAGUCCACAGUGAUUUGAAAAUUCUGCACCACUGACUGGCUUGGACGCAAACCUCUGCACCUGAUGGUGUGCAGGUUUUUACACAAAGAAUGAACGGCUAUAAAUCAGAGUUCCUUCAAGGAGAUUUUCUGUAUAUGUUCUUUUUAAAAGGAUUCUCUAAUGUCCUUAUAAGGAACAUUUUUAGUCAACCUUUGGUUGGACAAUAGCAAGGUCUCCAGGCUUU